CAGCAAAAAAGCCAAGUCACAAACGAAAACUUUGUAUUCCUUUUUAGUGCUACUGGUUCAAAAGAUGGGAUGAGUGGUAAAUUUUUCUGCAAAUCCGAAGGAACCAGAACAGGGAUGGUCAGCUUAGCAAGAGAAACCAAGGCACCAGGUCAAAAAUCCUGCGUAAUUCCCAACAUAUAACUUACUUCCCAGCAGAGAGAAAUGAAACCCCUUCCUGGAUCUUGGGUACUUAGCACUUAUGAAAUGCAAGCUCAAGGCAGGCUGUGAGGAACAUCUGCACUUAGAGAAGUCCUUCUGGAAAGCCAAUGGAAAUUAUUUGCUCAAAUAUUAUGCUCCUCCAGCAAUCAGUGGAACUAUUAGUUAACCUGAGGGUGGUCUCUUGCCCACUGCGAGCAUGGCAGGAUCCAUGUGAGGGGACAGAGGAAGAUACAGGCUCACAUUCCAGCAAAGAUGUCCACAGAGGGAUGCACUUCCCCCUGAGGAGCUAUCAGGUCCCUCUGACACCACUGCCUUCUAACACGGACGUUCUCCAGCCUGCAUCAGUCAUCACAGGACACAGCUCUUUUCAUACCUUCUUCCCAACGCUGUGCUGAGGCUCCUGUGGAAUUGCUGUCUGUCUGUCAGCGUUCCUACCUGUGCCUGUGGUCAGUGCUGAUACUCAGGUGAGCUACAGACCACUGAUUAAGUGCAGUCCCAUACCACUGGUGAGCAAUCACAGAAGUUUGGACAACCAUGUAUUCUCACUGAGCCCUGUUGCACUGUGCAGUAAUUAAAAAGUCAUGAGUCCUAUUUAAAUAUAGGGCAUUCUGUCCUAAACCUUUGAGUGCCUGUGGGUGUGAGCAGGCUCAUUCUCCAAAGAUGUUCUCUGGUCUGUGUACAUACACCAGCUUCAUCAAAAGGAUGUAGGAAAUGCCAAAUCCAGAUAUACGGAUUCCACUUUUUUUUAAAAAAUACAUCAUUGAUCAGUCCAGGGAUGGCAAAAAUUAAUAGUAAUGAGCUAAUUACUAUACCAGCUGCCUACAAAGAGAGGACCUGUAGGCAGACUCCUUCUGCCCAUUUGCCUGCUGGUUAAGCCACCACAUUAGAAAUUAUAAAACAAAACUUUUUUCCCUUUAUAAACAUCUAUCAGUAUCACCUUAAUAUGGCCCACAGCACCAACACUGCCUAGCUUUUAAGUUCUCAGAAUCCAGCCAGAAUCUCCCCUAGCACAUUAUAACACAUUUUACUGGCUUGAGCAGGGUAAAACACAGCCGUCUCCUCAAAUGAAUGGCUGGUGAGCUCCAGCAGCCCCUGCACAAGGCCGGGCUCACCAUCUGUGUUCCUCCCAACGUCCGAAGCCCGUUCACAACUGCCAGCCCUUUGAAAAGCCAGCCUGUUUUCCUGAUUGAUUCACUUUUUAAUGAACUGGGAAAGCCUGUGAACUUAAACCCUGACACCUCCACCUCCCUGCCUUCCUAGCCAUCCCUGCAGCAAUGUACUGAUUAUAUUUCAAGUUAUUAUGGGAUUAAUACAGCUGCCCCCAGUGCCUCUUUCCCCUGAACUUCAUCAAUAAAAGUUGUGUCCUAGUCUUACUCUAGUUAGUU
ensembl:lncRNA